rfam:Hordeum vulgare subsp. vulgare, WGS project CAJW01000000 data, contig: morex_contig_41482
AAUAUACUCCCUCCAUCCGAAAUUACUUGUCGCAUAAAUAGAUAAAAAUGGAUGUAUCUAGAACUAGAAUACAUCUAAAUACAUCCAUUUCUAUGACAAGAAUUUCCGGACGGAGGGAGUAUUUU